rnacentral:rRNA from 1 species
AUUGAACGCUGGCGGCAUGCUUUACACAUGCAAGUCGGACGGCAGCGGGGUAGUGCUUGCACUACUGCCGGCGAGUGGCGAACGGGUGAGUAAUAUAUUGGAACGUACCGAGUAAUGGGGGAUAACCAAUCGAAAGAUUGGCUAAUACCGCAUACGCUCUGAGGAGGAAAGCAGGGGACCUUCGGGCCUUGCGUUAUUCGAGCGGCCAAUAUCUGAUUAGCUAGUUGGUGGGGUAAGGGCCCACCAAGGCGACGAUCAGUAGCGGGUCUGAGAGGAUGAUCCGCCACACUGGGACUGAGACACGGCCCAGACUCCUACGGGAGGCAGCAGUGGGGAAUUUUGGACAAUGGGCGCAAGCCUGAUCCAGCCAUGCCGCGUGUCUGAAGAAGGCCUUCGGGUUGUAAAGGACUUUUGUUAGGGAAGAAAAAGGAGCGGUUAAUACCCGUUUCUGCUGACGGUACCUAAAGAAUAAGCACCGGCUAACUAC